rnacentral:rRNA from 1 species
UACGUAGGGUGCAAGCGUUAAUCGGAAUUACUGGGCGUAAAGCGUGCGCAGGCGGUUUUGUAAGUCUGACGUGAAAGCCCCGGGCUUAACCUGGGAAUUGCGUUGGAGACUGCAAGGCUUGAAUCUGGCAGAGGGGGGGUAGAAUUCCGACGUGUAGCAGUGAAAUGCGUAGAGAUGUGGAGGAACACCGAUGGCGAAGGCGGCCUGCUGGGCUAUGGCUGACACUGAGGCGCGACAGCGUGGGGAGCAACAGG